GUAGGUGGCAAGCGUUGUCCGGAAUUAUUGGGCGUAAAGCGCGCGCAGGCGGUUCUUUAAGUCUGAUGUGAAGGGCCCACGGGCUCAACCGUGGAGGGUCAUUGGAAACUGGAGAACUUGAGUACAGAAGAGGAAAGCGGAAUUCCACGUGUAGCGGUGAAAUGCGUAGAGAUGUGGAGGAACACCAGUGGCGAAGGCGGCUUUCUGGUCUGUAACUGACGCUGAGGCGCGAAAGCGUGGGGAGCAAACAGGAUUAGAUACCCUGGUAGUCCACGCCGUAAACGAUGAGCGCUAAGUGUUAGGGGGUUUCCGCCCCUUAGUGCUGCAGCUAACGCAUUAAGCACUCCGCCUGGGGAGUACGGCCGCAAGGCUG
rnacentral:rRNA from 1 species